rnacentral:rRNA from 1 species
UGGGGAAUAUUGCACAAUGGGGGAAACCCUGAUGCAGCGACGCCGCGUGAGUGAAGAAGUAUUUCGGUAUGUAAAGCUCUAUCAGCAGGGAAGAAAAUGACGGUACCUGACUAAGAAGCCCCGGCUAACUACGUGCCAGCAGCCGCGGUAAUACGUAGGGGGCAAGCGUUAUCCGGAUUUACUGGGUGUAAAGGGAGCGUAGCCGGCUUUGCAAGUCUGACGUGAAACUCCGGGGCUCAACUCCGGAACUGCGUUGGAAACUGUAAGGCUUGAGUGGCGGAGAGGUAAGCGGAAUUCCUAGUGUAGCGGUGAAAUGCGUAGAUAUUAGGAGGAACACCAGUGGCGAAGGCGGCUUACUGGACGGCAACUGACGUUGAGGCUCGAAAGCGUGGGGAGCAAACA